GCACCUUCAGCAGCAAAUCCUGCCUGCAAACACAUUUGCAGUAAGUUUUUAAGAAUAAGUAUGAUCAUUGAGAUGUUUAAAGAAAGUAACACUGCACAUUUUUAUUGCAUUUCACCUCAAUUAGGUUGGAAAAACAGCCAGUGUGUUUCCUGCACAAGGGUCACGUAUGGGGAUAGCUAGGUUAGGACCUGAGCCAGUAAAUGAGUAGCAGGUGAGAAGGUGUGGCUAACCUAGGGCACACAGGUGCAAGCAAUGCACCAGGGCAACCAGAAGGAGUGGAAUGUGGGUCCACCCCUCCUCACUCUCACUUAAGGGUUAGCUGAAGAAGCAGGAUCUCUAUUUGGAGAUUGCCCACUCUGGAAUGCUCAGCAACCUUCAGAAAAGGUUACCACAGGGAAACUUACCAUCAACCGGAGGUACUGCCAUUUCUCAGAGACUUCACCACAGUUCCCACAUUUCAGCUGAAAAAUACCAUAAAUCGGAGAGAAUUGAUGUGUGUCGGAUGCAACAUGUGUUGUGAGAUGCAGGCACUAAGUGGAAGGUGGGAAGGACACAGCGUGUCACUGACUGCAGCUGUCUGCCGGGGAUGUCAGGCUCGGCAUCUGCCUCAGCAGUGCAGGAAACAGCAUGUUUGGUUAUACUGAGGGGGAUGGAGGACUGCUUUACACUUCCUUCUCAAAAUAUAUGGAUUUCAACUUCAGAGGAUUCACUCGGAUGCUUUGUUGUACCUUCAGUCGCAGAGCUGAUGUGCCUCAGGCAAGGCACAUAGCAGCCCUUGUAGAACCACUCUGUUAGUAAACUGGAGUUGCUUUUCUUGAGCUCCAUAUAGUAUACAGGAAAAAGUCUGUUAAUUCAUAUUAAAACUUGGCUAAAGUUAAAUUAAACUUGCUGCACUGCAGGAAAG